rnacentral:lncRNA from 1 species
AAGGAAGGAUUGUGAGAGAGGAAUGGCGGCGCCGGCAAAGUAUGCCAGCCCCAACCAUCGUCGCAUCUAAGGACCUCGAAGCAGCUGCUGAUGUUGGCGUCACGUGACAGGUCCAUAACAUAGAGAGAUUGAUCUUCUGUCCGGUCAACAAGAUUGUCUUGGAUCAUGGGGAGGCUCAUGCCAAAAGGAACCAUGCAUGAAUUGAUACGAGGGAUGCUUGCAACAGUUCCCAGCUCAAUGUUGUAGAGUAUUGUCUUACUAAAGGAGUCACUGAAAACAAUACUGUCUUUUCCAAGUAGAGAGAACGAAUCCCUGUUCAUACUACUAUGUGUUAAACUAGACAUGGGAUGAAAAUUGAUUUCCGGCUUAGGCAGAACCGACAAGCGCUCUAGCAUAGGUGGUUUGUUCUUCUCCGUUUUUGCUAGUGCUGCUUUUCGUGCUUCUGUUGACGGAUAGAAGAGGUACUUCAAGGGAUCCAGACGAUGCAGCGAAUACAUGCGACGGCUCAAGUCCUGCACUAUCAAAUUCACAAACCGAGUAUUCAUCCUCUCCAAAGUCCAACUGAUCGAAUCUCUCCGACUGGUCUGACUAAAAAAAUGAGUAUCAAUUAUUGAGACUGAGAUAUCCAAUACUGUAUAAUUUAAGAUUAAAGAAAAAACCAGCAGCAAUCUCCUGCGUGCCUCCAAUUCCUAAUUAUCCCUAUCCAGUUGUGAGCCGUCAAUGCUCUGAAUCGCACAAAUUUUACAAACCAACAAGGACUGAGGCUUUCGCUGAACAAUACCUUACGCUGCUUUACCAGCGGAGGAUCUAGUCGGAUGCGCCUGGUGAGGGUGAGGAAGCGGCGAGCACAAUCGGGAGAUUAGAUCUGCUAUUUUCGAGACGGCGAAUAAGCGAAGAGUGCCAGGAAAGGCGGCGGAGGCGCAGUG